rnacentral:rRNA from 1 species
GUUUGAUCCUGGCUCAGGACGAACGCUGGCGGCGUGCUUAACACAUGCAAGUCGAGCGGUAAGGCCCCUUCGGGGGUACACGAGCGGCGAACGGGUGAGUAACACGUGAGCAAUCUGCCCUUCACUUUGGGAUAACUCUGGGAAACGAGAGCUAAUACCGAAUACGACCACUUCAGGCAUCUGAUGGUGGUGGAAAAGUUCCGGCGGUGAAGGAUGAGCUCGCGGCCUAUCAGCUAGUUGGUGGAGUAACGGCCCACCAAGGCUUCGACGGGUAGCCGGCCUGAGAGGGUGACCGGCCACACUGGGACUGAGACACGGCCCAGACUCCUACGGGAGGCAGCAGUGGGGAAUAUUGGACAAUGGGCGAAAGCCUGAUCCAGCAACGCCGCGUGAGGGAUGACGGCCUUCGGUUGGUUAACCGUACUUUCUACGUAGGGUACGGAAGGAC